UUUUUUUUUUUUUUUGGCAAGUGGCCAUUUACCAUGGUGGUGGAAAGGAAUCAAGCCCUUGCAUGAUGUCAUGCGUCCGAACCCCAUCAAUGCCUAAUCUAACAAAAUCUAUCGUUUGACAAAAAAAAAAAAAAAAAAAACCUCAGCUUCUUUCACUUCCGACUAAGCUUUUUCCUGCUUCGGAGAGUUUUGUUUUAUAAGACUUAACAUGACAUGAGAUUGGUUACAGGAUUGCCAACAGAAAAGGAUUUUCAUUCAUCGCCCAAAAUUAGAUACAUGCAAUCUUCAAAAUUAAAAACUCCAACUUUACCCUGACAAGGUUACGUAUAUAGUUUUUUCCCAAGUAAAUUUUAAGGACAAGGGUUACUAAAAUAGAUGAUAUAGCUCACCUAUGAGAGAUGCUUCCAGGAGACGAUGUGCCAUAAGAACCUCGUCUGUCGGAUUGACAAAGCCUGCCUCUGAUAAACGUUUUUGAACACUGAAUACACUAUAUAUGGUGGAGCUAAAGAAGACGAGAAUGGUUCCUCCCACGCUCUUCACCACCAAUGGCCCCCGUCCUUGCUUCGAUCGAUCUAACCCCACGAUCACCAACUUCCUCAGAGGGGUUCUAAAACAGAAGGCUCAGAAUCAAUGCCAUUUCAGCCAACACAAGUGUAAACAAAAUUAGAAUCAUUGCUUCUGGUUAAUUAGCAACAAAGUUUUAUUUUUCAAUGAUUUUGCUAACAUGAAAGUGGCUUUAUCUGAAGGAUGUGGAAAAAAACAAUGGUGUAAUUGUUGUUUAGGGUUCGUUUUGUAGGUGUCCUGUGUGAUAUGAUUCUUCAAACUUAUAGUUGAAUCAAGGAAUUAUACUUUCCAUGAGUACAUGAGGCAGGGAUAGAAUUAUUUUUCAUCAUGUCCCCAAGGACACACUUGGUAUCUAUAUCUCUUUGGGAUAUCAGAUAUCUUGUUGUUUAGGAAUUGAGAGUUUUUUCAAAAGAUUCUUUCAAGUCAUAGAGAAUAGAUGAGUUUUCACGUAAAAGUUAUAAACUAAUGGAUUGCUCUGAUAGAUAAGGUCUUUCCUUUCAAAUUAUUGCUUCUUGAUUCAUUAAUUUAUCCCUUUCAUUAGUAGGAGCAUAGUGUUAAUUUUGCUUAUAGUAAAGAAGGAAAACUUUCAAAUUUUGGUGAUGUCAUCUUAUUUUUUUGUUUGUCCUUGUAGCUCUGAAAUUGUUAUGCCAAAUUUUGAGCAACUUCAGCCCAAUCCAAUCCCCUAGGCUAUAGGCGAUCAAAUCCAUUUCCCCUCCCCCUCCAACCCAUACCAAAAGCCUGACUUCUCCCCCAAGCUCGAAUCGAUAGCCAUGAUGGAUAUUUUUUUGACGUCAGUGUGUGGAAAAUACGUACGAGGUGAUGCAGGUCUUUGACAAGAAAUUAACGUUUGGGGCUUAUGUGCAGGCGCACUAAUGGUUGAUUCUUCUUUGGGAACAGAUCGCGGAGUUUUUUUUCAUCUGAAGUUGACAAUCAGGAUUCUAUUAGUCUAUAAUUUAUAUAUAUAUUUUUUUUAAAUUAUCAUUUUUCACACCAAAAAAAAAAGUAAUAAGAAUAGUAAAUUCUUCAAAACGGUGCGCUGCAGUGGUUUAAGACACAUGCCACAAACAACGAGCGAGGAGCAAAUAGCAUUAGGUAAGUGGACUUCCAAGUUCCAACUCUAGUUUGGCCUUUCAUCAGAGUCCGAGUCUGAGCCGGGGAAGACUGUCUAUCUUCAGAGCCUGCAAUGGAGGCGCCGCCAUUCCCCUCUUCCUCCAAAACCCUACCGUUUCGCUCAUCCUCCGCUUCCUCCCUUCUGUUUCUUCCCAAAACUCACCUCAAUUUCAGACGUCCCAGAAGCUUCUCCGUCCGUGCCUCCUCCGCCGCAGAUUCCGGUACUCUCCUCUCCCUCCCUCCCUCUCUCUGUUAAAUUUGAGUUUUUGUUAUUAUUAUUUAUUAUUUUAAUAAUAAAUUAGUUUGUUUCAAUAAUGAAUCAGGGGUGACUCUGCUCGACUACGGCGCCGGCAAUGUUCGCAGUGUGAGGAAUGCCAUUCGCCACCUAGGCUUCGACGUCAAAGAUGUAAUUUUUCUUUUCUUUUUGGUCAAUUAUCUAUCAAAGUUAUGCCCUUGUAACCAAUUUCUUUGUAGUGUUGUAUGUUAUAGAUUUUGUUAGAAAUUUGGAAUAGAAAAGAAAGAUGACAAAAAUCGGUUGGUGUAAAGGAUGGUAAAUAGAUGAGUUGUAUUUUAACAGAAGUUCGAAAUGUAGGUCCAAACACCGGAAGACAUUCUGAAUGCCGAACGCCUAGUAUUUCCUGGCGUGGGGGCUUUCGCUGCCGCCAUGGAUGUGCUGAAUAAGAACGGGUAUGCGUUUCUUUUAUUUUUUGUUGGAUUCUAUAAGGAUCAAUUGCUUGUUGAGUCCGUUUAAAUGGAUUAGUGGCAAUGAACGGAUAAAGUGCAUAUUCGGAGAAUGGGGAAUGUGGUUAAGUUACUCAUGAUCAAAGAAGCAUCGUGACAAUGAUUGGUAGUUAGUUUGAAUAACAAAUUUCAAAAUAAUGGCUCUGAAUCUUCUUGUUUGCUAACUAAUCACAUAAUAUUUCUCAUGUCAUUUAUAGUUUAUUAGCUUUUAGAUUGUGGGAAAAUUUCAGCCCUUUAUUGUUUUUCAGGAUGGCGGAAGCAAUCUGUUCAUAUAUUGAGAAGGAUCGACCAUUUCUUGGCAUUUGUCUUGGACUUCAGCUCCUUUUUGAAUCCAGCGAAGAGAAUGGACCGGGUCAGUGCUUCAUGCCUCUUUUUUCUUCAACUUUGUUUUUCCAAUUUUGUAACUCAUCAUCUAUGAUUCACUUAUAGUUAUUUGGAUGGAAUGGUUUAAAAGGCAUUGAAUUUGUAAAUAAGCUAGAUACAAUGUAUUAGAACACUAAAUCACGUAUUGAAAAGGAUUCGGAAUAACUUAAAAAAUGUAGUAGAAAUGGAUUUGCAAUUGCUGUAAGUUGUACAACUGCAUUUGACAUCAAUGUAUUGCAUUCUGGCGUUAUAUAUUGCAAAGUCCAGUUAAUAAAUUUAGUUAUAUAAUGGUACCUAAAACCCCUAGUAUAGAGAAAUCACUCUUCCCAUAUUAUAGGAGUUUCCUUUCCAUGCUGGCAUACAUAGCAAAUACUGAGGAUGCAGCAAAUCCAUUCGUGAAGUUAUCCUGAUAAUGAAAGCCUCAGGUUGUUACUGUUAGUGACAAUUGAGUUAGACAGCUUGGUUUAAGGAGAUAGUCCUAGAAACAAAUUAAUGUUAAUUUGAAUGUACGUAACAUUAUUAUAGCUUUUUUUUUAUCUAUUUAAUUUAGUAAUAGUUGAACUGAUAUUAUACAUGUCUCAGUGAAAGGUCUUGGCUUGAUACCUGGAGUGGUUGGCCGUUUUGAUUCAUCAAAUGGUUUCAGAGUUCCACACAUUGGAUGGAAUGCUUUGCAGAUUGAAAAAGACUCAUUAAUUUUGGAUGAUGUUGGAAGCCAUCAUGUCUAUUUUGUUCAUUCUUACAGAGCCAUGCCUGUAUGUCUUAUUCUCCUAUUUCACAGAAAAUAAUUUAAAGUUCAUGUAUCUGCUGCAUACUUCCACUAAGAAUACAUUGAUUUGUAUGUUUACUGGGGUUGACAUAGUUUUAUACCAAUUUUCAGUCAGAUGAAAACAAAGACUGGGUUUCGUCUACUUGCAACUAUGGAGACAAUUUUAUUGCAUCUGUUAGAAGGGGAAAUGUGCAUGCAGUUCAAUUCCACCCAGAAAAGAGUGGAGGCAAGAUAUCAUUUCUCUCUCCUGUCUGUUAGUAGAUUUUAAUGGUAGUCCAAAGUGUACAGGGAUUGUAGGAAUGUUCCAUGCCUCGUUUCUUUUAGUAAAAGGGAAGCAGAUUUUAUCUCACAUGACUUUAGACCAUUGAGUUCUUUCCUAGAAUGAAGAGGUACAGUUUUUGUUUAAGGUAGACCAUUGAGUUCUUUCCUAGAACGAAGAGGUAAAGUUUUUGUUUAAGGGCUAGGCGGUGGAUCAUUCUGACCUUUGCUGUGUAAUUUUGGCAUUCUGAGAUCUAUUUUAUAGACUUUUGUUCCAGUUCACUUUAUCCAUGCAUGAAAAGUGAUUUAGAUUUAUUUUCAUUAUAUGAAGGCCUAUUAUUGAUAUCAAUUUUGCCUGAAUGUGAAUGUUUAGAUGUUGGUCUUACGAUAUUGAGAAGAUUUUUGUAUCCAAAGACAAACCUGGAAAAGGUAACCUUUGUACUUAUGAGAAAUAUGCUUCCCAUAUGUUGACUAUGUUUAACCAUCUAACAAUGUGAGAUGUUCUUGUGAAGACAGAAGCCAACUGAAAGGAAGGCUUUGAAACUUGCUAAGAGGGUAAUUCCUGUUGACUUAUUUUAUAGUUUUAUCAUUUUAGUGGUAGGAAAAGUGAGAAGGGAUUGAAUUUUAAUCCGACCUAAAAUAUUGUAGUCCAACUUACAAUAUCAUAGUUCUAAAUGUCUGGGUGAUGGUGCUUUUUAUCUUGUUUUGUUUGUGCCUUUGUGGACUUCUUGUCCGCUUUUGUAUUUUUAUUGUUUCUUUGCAAUAAAAAAUUGUUUCUUCUUCUUCUUCUUCAAAAAAAAAAAAAAAACUUACAAUAUCAUAGGUCGGAUUCGGAUUAUGACUUAUCUCAUUGUCUGUCAUAUGCUGACUGUGAAGGUUGUCCCUAAAUUCUGUUACUUAGGUGAUUGCUUGUCUUGAUGUGAGGACGAAUGACAGGGGAGAUCUUGUUGUAACCAAAGGCGACCAAUAUGAUGUAAGAGAGCACACAAAAGAGAAUGAGGUAUUGCAACAUUUCUUGACUCUUUCCUUAUAUGAUUUUGGUGAUUUUUAACCCUUAUUUCUGGAUGCUUGUCAUGCUUAGCCAUCAGUGAAUAAUAUUUGAUCACAUCCAAAAUAUAUAAGAUCUAGUUCAAUAAGCCCACUUAUGGAUCUUACUGUAGAUUAUUUUCUUGUUUCAAGCACUUCUGGUUUCAUGGUUGAUACCCUUUUUUUUUCACUUUGAGUAUGCGACCUGCUUUAAAAAGGAUCAGCAGCACCUCCUGAAGAAAGCGUAUCUUUGUUUUGAUGGAAUUUUGUUAUUAGUUAAAAAGAAAAGGGAUACUUUUUCUAUUCAUUGGGGUUCUUGCUCUAGCAUGACUAUUCAAGAUCGUACUUGAUAUCUUUUCAUAUUUUUUAUAUGAUUCAAAUUAUUUUCUUUAUGUCAUGAAAAUUGCUUUUAUGUCUACUAAUAAAAAAAUUUAAUAGGUGAGAGAACUUGGUAAGCCUGUAGAGCUUGCUCGACAGUAUUACAAAGAUGGGGCUGAUGAGGUAUGCCUCCUUAAGUUUGAACAAAUUUCACUGCUUAUGUAUCAUCUAAGAGCUCUAGUAAUCUGCUGAAGUCUUAAUUUUGAAUUUUUCAGGUCAGCUUUCUGAAUAUUACUGGUUUUCGAGACUUCCCUCUGGGCGACUUGCCCAUGUUACAGGUUUGUGAUAGAGAAUCAGUUAAUGUUCGACUUGAAUCUUUCAGUUUUGACACAAUUCAGAGUUCUCCGAUUUUAAAGCUGGAUUGUUACAUGUUAAUUAAUUUCCUAAUUCUUGUUUGCUUUCAUGCUUUGUAGGUAUUGAGAUACACAUCAGAAAAUGUUUUUGUACCAUUAACAGUUGGAGGUGGCAUCAGAGAUUUUACAGAUGCAAAUGGCAGGUAUAAUCUUCGGUGUAAAAUUGUGAUGGAUCAAUAAUUGUCCUUUCUUGCAUUUUUCAACUCUACUGCAUAUGUUUUUUACCGGAGAAACUGAAAUCCUAUAGCUUCAACUCAAAUUAUAUAUGCCAAUUAGAUGUAUUGGUAUGGACAUGGAUUAUAGGUUCCCUUUUUUUUCUUUCAGGCACUAUUCUAGUUUGGAAGUUGCUUCCGAAUAUUUCAGAUGUGGGGCUGAUAAGAUUUCUAUUGGAAGCGAUGCAGUUUAUGCUGCAGAAGAAUAUUUAAGAACUGGAGUAUGCAAUAACUUUUGCUGUUUCAAAUUCAGGUUGGUACAAUAUACACAUCACACUGUGUAUGCCUCUCUAAUGGUUUUGUCAACUGAAUUUUCAGGUAAAAAAUGGAAAAAGUAGCUUAGAGCAGAUAUCUAGAGUUUAUGGAAAUCAGGUAAUUUGUUGUCCAGUAGAUGCAUCCAUGCUUAACAUUCUUUUGAGUUAAUCUACACAAUUGGACAUAAUAUAAGAAGUCUCAGUACACAUUUUGUUAUUUUCCUUUGAUCCCAGCGUCCGUUUCUGGAGCAUUUCUUUUGACCCUCCGAGAAUUCAUUAUAGUUCUUGUGGGACCAUAAAGUAGGAAACUAGAGUUGAUGAAGAAGCUCCUCAUUCUGUUCUUUCAGCUUUUAUGUGUUCUGAAUUUAUUGAGGAUCUAGGAAUUUCUGUAGUUUUGACUGACUAAUUAGUCAUGGUCACCUUGACGGUGUUAAUUAUGUCUGGUAUUAUGUCUUAGUAUUUGCAGAAGGCAUGGAUCAUUGUUUCUUUUAUUGAGUUUAGACGAUAUUGAGUUUAUAUGAAAAAUAUGAUGCAGGCUGUGGUUGUGAGCAUUGAUCCUCGCAGAGUGUACAUUAAGAAUCCAAAAGAUGUAGAGUUCAAGACUAUAAGGGUAGCAAACCCAGGUAAGGGGGCAUAACUUCAAAUCUUUCUUUCCUUGUUUCUCCAGCUUGGAUAUGCCAUUGAUCUUCAUGUUUUAUAGACUAAAAUCGUGUGUUCAAAUUUUCAAGGAAAGUUAUAAGAAAGAAAAUUACUUAUUGUUAAUUUCAGGUCCAAAUGGAGAAGAAUUUGCAUGGUACCAGUGCACAGUAAGUAUUCUUUUCCAUUGCUUUCUUUACCUCUGUACUACUGUUCAAAGUUAAAACAGAUAUAUUUCGGAAGCUUGCAUAUUACAUGGAAUUGCUUCAUUUAAUUUGUCCCCAGAAAAUAAUAAUAACAAGAAUGCCCUGAACCUCCAUGUCGCCUUUAAAGUAUCGUAGUAUGGCAUCAAUUGUUGGCUCUAAAGACAUGAUUAGGAGUAUAUAUUGUUGAUUUAAGAUAGUCGCGGGUAGAAUUUUAAGUUCUUCACAAGGGAGAAGGGAACUAGAGUAACCUACGUCAUCUUAUUCUUACCGCACAGACGGCUAUAUCUGUUUGUGCAUCAUUGAAUUGUUUCAUAUUUCCAAUUUGACUUGUGUUAUGAUAUGCUGUAAGACAUUUCCGUGCUUCAAUUGUAUGUUAAAAUAUAUAAUUGGCAGGACAAGAGUAUGAACUUGGUUGUCAGAUGCAACAAUUAGAGAUCCUUGCCUUGGCUGGUUCCGCGUUUACAAGAUUUUCCAGAUUACAUCUUGAAAAUAUCUGUUGUUUGUUCCUCAGGUUAGCGGUGGCCGAGAAGGCCGACCAAUUGGGGCGUAUGAGCUUGCAAAAGCAGUAGAGGAGCUCGGAGCUGGAGAAAUACUGCUAAACUGCAUUGAUUGUGAUGGUAAAGAUUACUAUUGCUUUACUCGAAACUUUUUUUCUGUUACGUUAAUUUAUUUUUCGAGCAUAAUCUUUAUAAAAUGGAUACAUAAAGUUAUUAUGUACAAUGAGUGCUAUCUUCCCCCCGUAAGUUUUAGUUUCUUAAACUACCCAAAUGUUUGAAACUGUCUAUUUUGUUCUGGAAGGCAUUGAUGUCAUUUACAUUUUUUUUUUUUAAACUUCAUUCUCAAACUAGUUUGUUGUUUUUGUUGGAUUUUCAUGCUUAUGUCGAGUCUUCGAUGCUCUCAGGUCAAAAGAAGGGAUUUGAUAUAGAUUUAAUAAAGCUGAUCUCAGAUGCUGUGAGCAUUCCUGUGAUUGCUAGUAGCGGUGCUGGUUCUGCCGAACACUUCUCAGAGGUGUUCAGGAAAACAAAUGCAUCGGCUGCCCUAGCUGCUGGUAUUUUCCAUCGGAAGGAGGUACAGCUUUUGAACCGUUUAUUUGACUUGUUAGCAUCUAGGUGCUGAUCAUCAUUAGUAAUACUCUGAUUAUAAUCCUUGCAGGUGCCUAUUCAGUCAGUGAAGGAGCACUUGUUAAACGAACAAAUAGAAGUCAGAAUCUGAACGCAUCACUGCUCCUAACGCUUUGAAAUAUGUAGGUGACUGAUUUUCUUUUUCGCCAAAAUAAAAAGGUUUUGAGAGAUGUCAAGUUUGUCAAUCUGUUAAGCUGAAACUUUUUAGCUCUUUGACCUGAGCAUGUACCUUCAUUUUGUGGCAGCAGUCGACUCCAACGAAUAUUGGAGUUGUUUAAACAGGGUACCCUGAAGUUUUGUGGAUUUAGGCACAAGUUAUAGUAUGUAAAUUUUUGCAUUCCUGUAUUUUACGGUAUGAUCCCACAUUUGGUAACUCACAGCCCACUCAUCUUCUUCAAGCUCUCAUACUCACUCUGCCUGGUUGAAGCAAACUGAACCCGAAUGCAGUCGUUAAGACCUAGUUGGCUUAUUUAUUUAUUUGCCCCACGAAACUUCUCUUUAAUAUCACUUUACUCCGUGAAAUUUCGAGUGGUGUUCUAAAUCAGUUUUAGUGGAUGUUAGAUUCAGUUCGUUCACGAGGAGCUGCCUGGGAAGUUUGAAUUACAUUGGAUUAGAAAGGAGAAGCAUCCUUCAUUUGUUGCCAAGUACCAAACAUGAAACUGGAUUAAAAAAAAAGAAAAACUAAUGAAAAUUGCUUAAAAACUUCGAGUUUUAAUGAUAAGGACAAAAUAAAGAGUAAAGUGAAUAGUAUCAGGAUUGACUUUUUAGUGUAAAAAUAUGGUUUUUCGUUAAAGUGAACAGUACCGGGUGCUUUUCGUUAAAGUUCUCUUAAAAAAUCUAACCCAACCGAGGAUGCAUAAGAUGUGCCUCAAGUCUUCUUUAUGCGUUGGAUUAGAGAGAAUCAGAGCAUUGCUCUAUGGACUUUAGUCCAGUUGCAGUUUUGAUCACUCAAGUAAUAAUCCGUGGGUGCGUUUUUUGCACCAAACUAUCUCGAACUGGACUAUCUUGAGGGACUAAGCUGGAUUAACUUAGUAAAGUGUUUGGUGCAAUGUCGGAUUAAUAAGCUAGAUAAUGAAAAAAAAAAUUAAAAAAAAAAAAAAAACCAAUACUAUAUCAACCAACAUCAAAAUUUCAUCCAAAUUUGAUCUUAUCAUGCCUCACUCCAACAAUUUCCAUCAUGAUGUAUUUAUCUAACGCUCCCUAUGAAUGCCCAUUUUGAGCUUUUCUAGCAAUAGGAGUAUUCCAAGUAAUUUCUUAACAACUAAACACAACUAUCAACGUUCCAAAUUCCAAAUUCAAACAACAUAUUACACUUAUAUCUCAAUUUCAAAUUCUGGCAAAAAUAAAAUUACACAAAACAAUUAUGCAAGCAACAUCAAUUGACCAUACUUUCCUGGAAGCCUCAAAAAAUUGACUCUCACAAAAAAUUAUUCAACCCCAGUCACAAUCACAAUCACAAUAAUUUAACUCAAACACCUCUUGGGCACUUUCCAAAUCACCCUUUUGCACAUACCCAUUAAUCAAUUGAAUUCACAAUCAACAAAUGACUACAUUUUCAUUCCUUUGGUAAUGAAUUUCUUUCUCAUUGGUCAUUAAUUCACAAUUAUACCAUAACAAAAUCAAAUUCAAGUGGAGAAAUCGAAAACUGUAAGCUAAAAAAUGAGAAGCUCUCACCAGUUUUCGGCAACGGCGGCGAUCUUGGCGAGCUCGUACUAGUUCAGAGAUCACAGGGAAGGAGGAUUUAGCUGCGGUGGAUUCGGAAGGGCUAAGAUUGCUCCGUGAAUGCUCAAGAGUCAUGGGCUGAGAUUGCGGUGGAGGAUUGUGCAACUGGUGUGCGGUGCUCGAAGGCCACAACCAUGGUGCUUUUGCUAAGAGAGAGAGAGUGAAUUGAACGAAGAAGAAAGGAAGGGAGUCAGUGGAUUGAUUUUCAGUUUUUGUUUAAGGUCUGGGUUUAGGCUUUGGGGUGGGAUGGUGAAGGCCCAAGGGAGUGGGCGAAGGUGCGAAGGUGCGAAGGAGAAGGGAGAGGGCGAAGGGGCGAAGGGGCGAAGGGGUGAAGGCGAAGGAAGACGACGAGGGAUCAGCGGCGGGGGAGAGAACGAGACUAACAGUCUGCUAAAAAUCGAGGGGCCUCGCUAAGAACGUUUACCAAAGCAUUCAGUCGGGGGGAGUCCCCGUUAGUCUUGUUGAUGCACAAAACCAGAGGUUUUGGAACAACGUAAAUUCGAUCGUGAAUUUGCAAGAGAUGUAAAUAACACAAGAUGUAUCGUGGUUCACCCCAAGAUUUGGGCUACGUCCACACUGAUUAUGUAUUUAUUUGAGGGAGAGAGUGCUCUGAGAGGGAGAGCUUUAAGAGGGGGUGAGAGGGCCUUGGAAUUGGCCUCCCUAAUUGUGAGGGUGAGAGGUCCUUUUAUAGAAUAAAGAUUCCUCACUUAUUACAUAUUUGCCCAUUCCUUUAUCACAUAAUUACAUUUGAGUCCCCCGAGUAUUUAUACGAGGUCUAAAUACGAGGCCCUAAAUAUGGUAUAAACAGUAGUCCCCCAAGUCUUCAGUCAAGAGAGUCUUUUGGCUGGAGACUUGAAAUUCAGUCCAUAUGUGGGCCGAAGUAAUUAAAUGUUGUCUUGAACUUGAUGCUCGAUAUGAGGCGGUGCUCAAUCUGAAAUGAUGCUCAACUAGAAGUAGCACAUGCUGCAAGGCUGCUUCGCUUGUGGCUUAUGUUGGGGUUGGCUCGGCUUGUGGCAUCGAAGGUGAGGGAGUCCCUUUUAUAGAAUAAGGGCUCGCUCCUUAAUACAUAAAUGAUGGGCUAGAGUUGAUGCUCGCGGUGAGGCGGUUGCUCAGUAGGCGGUGAUGCUCUCUAAUGGUGGUGAGGGAGUCAUUUUUAUAGAAUAAGGGCUCGCUCCUCAAUACAUAAGUGAUGGGCUAGGAGUGAUGCUGGCGGCAAGGCGGUUACUUAGCUGGCGGCGAUGCUCUCUAAUGAUGGUGAGGGAGUCCCUUUUAUAGAAUAGGGGAUCGCUCUUCAAUACAUAAGUGAUGGGUUAGGAGUGAUGCUCGCAACGAGGCGAUUGCUUAGCUGGCGGCGUUGCUCUCUAAUGAAGGUGAGGGAGUCCCUUUUAUAAAAUAAGGGCUCGCUUCUCAGUACAUAAGUGAUGGGCUAGGAGUGAUGCUCGCGGCGUGGCGGUUGCUCAGCUAACGGCGUUGCUCUCUAAUGAAGGUGAGGGAGUCCCUUUUAUAAAAUAAGGGUUCGCUCCUCAGUACAUAAAUAAUGGGCUAAGUCCCCCAAGUAUUUUUCAUGAGGCCCAGUUGAGGCCCAAUAUAUGGUACAUAAUGUAGUCCCCCAAGUCUUCGGUCAAUAUAGUCUAUUGGCUGGAGACUUCAAAUUGAAUCCAUGUAUGGGCCGAAGUGGCGAUUGUUCGAAGGCGGUAUUUGUAUACCCUGCACUAAAGCUUUGUAGGUGAAGCUUUGCAAGUGAAGCUUUGAAGCUAGAGUUCUAUAAAUGAAGCUUUCGAAGCUGGAGCUUUUGUAAAUGAAGCUUUUAAAGCUGAUUGACAUGAGUGAUGCUCAUGAAUGUUUAUGUUGAUUGACAUGAGUGAUGAUCAUGGAUGUUGUCAUGAGUGAUGCUCAUGAAUGUUAACAUGAGUGAUGCUCAUGAAUGUUAACAUGAGUGAUGCUCAUGAAUGUUGACAUGAAUGAUGGUCAUGAAUGUUUAUGUAUAAUUGUCAUGAGUGAUGCUCAUGAAUGUUUAUGUAUGAAUGACAUGAGUAAUGCUUAUGUAUAAUUUGGAGUACUGGGCGUACUUUUAAUCACCUGGUUGGUGGCAUGAAGGAGAGUACGAGUUGUACAUUUCAUCACCUGGUUGGUGGCAUGAAUGGCUAGUUGCCAAAUGAUAUUAGAGUACGGGUUGUACAUUUCAUCACCUGGUGGUGGCAUGAAUGGCUAGUUGCCAAAUGAUAUUGGAGUACGGGUUGUACAUUUCAUCACCUGGUUGGUGGUAAUAGCGGCAGGUUGCCGAAUAAUUUUGGAGUGCUGGGCGUACUUUUGGUCACCUGGUUGGUGAUAAUAGAGGAAGGUUGCCGAAUAAUUUUGGAGUACUGGCGUACUUUUGGUCACCUGGUUGGUGCUAUUUUGGGCUUAUGGGCCUUCGCCCUCCACAACAUGCCAGCCCAUUUAUUUUGGGCUUUGCCCUUUUUUUUUUUUUUUUUUUUUUGGUAUUAUUACCCUUUGAUGGGGUUUAUACAGAUGUCUCCGAGAGAUAAGAAAAAUAAAUUACAUCAUACAUCUGUAAAAAAAAUAAAUCAAAUCAUUUUGGUGGGGUGUUUAUUCCUCACUUUUGCUUUCUCUUUUCUUUCUGUUUUCUGCUUUGGAUAUGUCGCUUGAUGACAUGAUUAAGGGCAACAGGGGUAAUCAUGACAGAAAUAGAAACCAUCGUGGUAGGGGCUCUCGUGGCCUCGGUGGAGCACGUGGCUCCUUUAAUGCUGAAGGGAUGGCCUGGUUGCUUUUCUUUUGCUUUUGCUUUUCCCCAUCUUUGUUUUUCUUUCUGAUUUGCUUUUCUGCUUUGACAUGGCCGCUCUUUAUCCUUCUCCCGGUCCCUGUCACCCUCGUGGUCACUCUUGUCUCUAUCACGUUCUGAAUGGCACUCCCUCACCCACCCAAAUAUCAGGAAGAGAGCUUGAAGACCGAAAACCAACAUCUUCCUCUUUGUUUGGUCUUUGAAAGCACGCAAGGGGUAAGAUUUAAAAACCAAAAUGCCGAGGCACCUUCUCAGCAACAGGCUUUGCUGCAGAUUCUAGAGGAGCGGGUUCAUCGGAGUCUCCUCGUAGAACUUGUUCGACGAUCUCUUUUUUGAUGUCCUUGUAUGGGAAUUCUGACUCGAGGUGAUUGUCUUUGAUACACUGAAUCUCUGCGCUCAGAUCACCUAUUUGGUUGUCUUCCACCUCAUUUAGCCAUUUUGUGCAGUAAGACUGCCUUGCACCUUCCACAUAUUCUUUUAAGAGUCGUACCAAAGGGAACCAGGCAGAUAAGUUGAAGCCGCAAAUCAAUCUAACAGCUUCAAUCAGUUGCUUCCUUUCAAUAAGAUAUUGAACAAAAUCAGGGAUCAUAUCUGCAAAACCAAUUUACAAAGUGCAAAAAUCCCAAAAUCUCUUAAAAACCAACUCAUCUGCAAAGCCCUGCAAAACCAACUCAUCUGUAGAGCCCUGCAAAUUCCUUGUAUCUGUGGUUGCACUCGAUUGAAGAUCCAAAGGAGAUGAAGCUGCGACAUUUAUAAGUUAUGGCACUCUUCCUCGCGAUUUUGAAGCCCUCGACCUCCUCCGCCAGUGUGGGCUGGCUCUUGGCCGAGGAUUGCCUGCAUUUCGCAGCCAACACUGCCAUGCGAUAGAUCACGGCAGGGUCCGAUUCUGGGGUCCAAGACUUCGGCGAAGUCGUCGCGUUUCAUGAUCGGCAUGGCCUAGUCCACCAACGAUGGCGGACUGUAGUUCGCGUCAAUGGUGUUUCUCCCACUCAGAAUCUCUAACAGGAGUGUUGGAUCUUGAUGGGCUUUUCAGCGGUGGCGGUGGUUUUGGACAAUGAAGUUUGGGCGACGGAGAUGGCUAAGUCAGCUCGGCAAGAAAGGUAACCCCUAAGAGGAAAAUUGAGAUCUUAACUCUGCGUGUUCUCAGAACUCGGGUUCAGAGCCGCUAUGGGAAGGACCAAAAGGUCUUUUUCUUUUGAAUUGUAGAGAGGAAAUUCAGAUGGAUUUAUGUUUUUGUUGUUGUUAGGCAUAUGAAAAUGGAGAACCGUGGGGUUUUUUUGGGAAAGCUUUGGAUUUUUGCAAAUUCACGGCGGAGGUGAAAAAAUGAAAGAGAGCCGAUAUAGCUUUUUGUGUCAUUUUCCACAGACGGCGCCAAAUGUUGAUGCACAAAACCGGAGGUCUUGGAAUAACGUAAAUCCGACCGUGAAUCUGCAAGAGAUGUAAAUAACACAAGAUGUAUCGUGGUUCACCCCAAGGUUUGGGCUACGUCCACACUGAUUAUGUAUUUAUUUGAGGGAGAGAGCUUUGAGAGGGAGAGCUUUGAGAGGGGGUGAAAGGGCCUUGGAAUUGGCCUCCCCUAAUUGUGAGGGUGAGAGGUCAUUUUAUAGAAUAAGAACUCCUCACUGAUUACAUAUUUGCCCAUUCUUUUAUCACAUAAUUACAUUUGAGUCCCCUGAGUAUUUAUACGAUGUCUAAAUACGAGGCCCUAAAUAUGGUAUAAACAAGUCUCAUUAAAACUAGUCCAAUGUGGACAACAAGCACCGGAUUGGACAAACACUUAAUCUAGUCUAGUCCAAUGAUCCUUAAAAAGGUCAAACAGACACACCCCGUGAGAAUUGAUCUCUAAACUUAUCAAAAAGAACAAUUUCGACGUAUCUAUAUAAAGGUACCACAUGUAACGCAUGUUACUACCUUAUCAAAGAGAACAUCAACUUCCUAUUCAAAUAUUUAUCUUUGAAUUCAUAUUCUACUCUACCAACAUGUAAAAUACUUCUGUGAAUGAGAGCUGUUAUUUGCUCUCCAAAAAUGUAAUCAUGCAUUCCUCCAAAUUGUUCUCUUAUAUUUUUACAUAGGAGUGCCAUAUGACUUUUUCAGAAAUGCCGAUAACAGUGCUAUUCUCGUACUUUGCAAAGCAAAAAACAAAUAACAAUGACAAUAUUAUGGGGAUCAUCAAAACAAACCAUCAAAUAAUCAGCCAAAAAAAAAUCUAAGAAUCGAGUUUAGGAUAUAAUGUCUUUCGACAUGAGAUAAAUUCUACACAAGGAUUUGAAGAAGUUCUAAAUACAUGUUCCUUGGAAAUAAUUCCUACGAUAUAAGAUUCACAGUAGCUCAAAACAUCUAGAAAACGGGGUCGAUCAACUAUUAGAAGUAGAAAACACAGCCUGACAAGCCUCAAUUGAACAACUCACCUAGGAUCUCAGUUAACAGAUCAAAAUCCUACCAAAAAUGGUGCCUUCCGUAUUUAUGUUUCCUGUAGUAUAUCAGAUUUUUUCAAAAACCCGAAUCAAAUCACGUACCACUGCUGAUGGGGGGCUUCAUACGUCGAGGAGAAGCCUCUGAGGGUCCUCCACAACAUCUUUAAUACGACGCAAGAAGUAAACUGCCUCUCUUCCAUCAAUGAGCCUAUGGUCAUAGGUAAGAGCAACAUACAUCAUCGGCCGCGGGACAAUGUUGCCUCCGACAACCAUUGGACGGUUAACUAUUGAGUGCAUACCCAAGACUGCCGACUGCCAAAAAAAUCGCUUGUGUGAGAUUACGUUUCCAACGUUGGUGUCUACCCAGAAUAAGAAGUUCCAGUUGUUCAAACAAGAUAAUAAAAGUCCAAGUUCAUCGUGUCAGAGAAGCACCAAACCUGAGGGGGAUUGAUGAUGGGGGUACUUAGAAGGCUUCCAUAAACUCCACCAUUAGAUAAUGUAAAUGUACCUCCAGCCAUCUCGUCGAUUGAUAUAGAUCCAUCGUUUGCUUUCUUUGCGAGGGUGUUGAUCUCCUUCUCUAUCUCAGCAAAAUUCAUUUUAUCAGCAUUGCGGAUAACUGGCACAACAAGGCCCUGCAAGAAAAUAAAUUGAAAAACUUAUAAAGAAGCAAUUAAAAUGCAUUCUUAUUUUACAGGUACGAUCAGCUACUAUGUUUCUACUCAUUCCAGAACAUAAUAACCAUGAAAAACAUGUAUAUUUACACAAAGGUUACAACUUCUGAUUAUACGGUUAAACAGAUGAAACGACAAGAAUACCGUCACAAACCCUGAGCUUAUGUGACAGUUUGUAGAAGGAAUACCACAUUUUCACUCUUAAAAAUCUAAAAAAUAGAUUUCUGGAUGGGAUCUUACGGAUUAGAAGACUGUUAAACCAACCGAACUUGCAAAUGCAAAUGCCGAAAUCAAAGAGGGGUAAAAUUUUUAGUUUCACAUAAAAGUUGCUAUUUUGACAUCUAUGUUUGCAAAUUGUCAAGAUGGAAGGUAUAUAAAUCAAAAGAAUUAUGGCCAAACCUUUGGAGUGCCAACGGCUAUACUUAUAUCUAUGUAAUCUCUGUAUAUGAUAUCGUCCCCAUCAACGACUGCAUUAAUAGUAGGCUGGUUUUGGAGACCACUGACGGCAGCCUGUUAAUAGAAAACAAAUACAGAUAAGAGUACAGAAUAUAGAUAUGCACGCAACAUAUUAUUCUGUCUUUCAUAUUAGCAAUUCUACACGUAUUAUGUAUGGCGUACUUUGAUAAAUCCAGACAUAAGCCCCAACUUGACUCCGUGCUUCUCAACAAAUGCAUCCUUGUACUCAGAACGAAGCUUCAUCAAAUUGGUCCUACCACAAGCAGCAAACCAGUGAGGGAAGAAAAGAAGACGCAUAUAUACAAUCCCUGAUAAAACUGGAAAGGCACAGAUUGAGUUCCGCUAACCAGCCACACCAAAGAAAAUACAUGCAAUAGCAUCAAAAGAAAACUACAGUCAAUUUAUUCAAGAUGGAGCAUGCCAAAAGUUGGUGAAUUAAUCCAAGAGCUGGAAGAAAAAAACAUGAUGAAUGCUGAAGAAUACUUUUUUUGAACUCACAUAUCAACUUCAUUGAAUGUCGUCAGCAUUGCAAAUGUGUUCUGUGAGUCCUUCAAUCUUAUACUAACCCGCCUCCGAAGCCUUGUCAUUGGAAUCUUCAAUCAUGCGGUUUUAAAUGAUUAUAAGCAGAACAUCAAAAUAGCCUCAUAAAAUCUUGCAGAGGAUUUUCAUUUUAUAUUUUAAAAUAUGCUAAAAAUGAACAUAAUGUAAGAAACCAUAGAAGACUUACUCGUCUUUCCCUUUCCUUAGAGUAAAGCUGAGGUUCUCUGGCAGAGGGUUUAGGAGGUGGUGAAGAGGGAGUUUUACGCUUUUCAGUAACAGGUGUAGUUUCAACUUUAGGUUUUUUCUUCUUGACAAUCUUUUCAACAGGGGGAGAUGGUUGAGCAAGAGCUUUCUCCGAUGUCUUCAGUGACGGACUGACAUGGGCUACACCUUCACCGGACUUUGAGAUAACAGCAAUCUUGGUGCCUGGUUCGACAGUAUCCCCUUCAUUGGCCACAAACUGCCAACAAUUAAAGUAAACACACAGGAUGAACUAAAACAUCAGCAACCAAUGCACUCAUAUGAAAGAGCACCAAAGUUAAUGGGACUAAAAUCUACACCUUUUGGAUCACACCGGAUUCAGGACUAGCAACAUCAAUCGUCACCUGAUGAAAAAUAAUCACAGAAUUAAAAUCCUACUCAUGGUUCCUGUCACUUAGGGGUUACCAAUCCCUUUUACAACUGUGGAAAACUAUAUUAACAUUCAAAUAGGACUUUAUUAUAGAACCUUAUCUGUUUCAACUUGAGCAAUUGGUUCGUCAACUGCAACCCUAUCACCAGGCUCUGCCUCCAAAAAGGGCAUAAUCAGUAAUAGAAUCAGACCCAAGAACAUUCAGCGUUAUGUAUAUUUGACAGAAUAUAAUAAGUGGCUGAGCAUACUCUUCAAGAAUUUCGCCAAAGUGCCAUCAGUGAUAGAUUCACCCAUAAAAGGGACGACGGCAUCAACCAUAUCCCCUGCAUCAUAUGGAAGCCAAAAGUUAAACCUCAACCCAGAGAGAGAGAGAGAGAGAGGAGAUACCAAAGACAUUAAUUUCCUCACAGGAACUAAAAACAGUAAAUUCGAGGGUGUUAAAUUGAUGGAAGAAAAGUAGAUAACCGACCAAUCUCUGAAGAAAAGGGCCUGCUCCACAUUUGCCUGAUAGGCUCUGGCAGAAUAUAGCCACCAACAUUCCUGAGAAACAGUCAAGCCAUGAUGAUUUCCUUCUUUUUCUUUUUAGAAUAAAGAAACUGAACUAGAGCAAAGGAUGUAAGAUUGUGAGUAUGAAAUAUAAGUUGGGACCGGUUAUAUCGUUUAAGAUUGAUAUAGAAAAGUCUUUUGUUUAAAGUAGUUAAGAUAUCCUUAUUGAUUUGGGUUAACAGGAUUGAGAGAAGUUCUAAUUGGUUUUGGAAUAAGACUCGGUAUUGGAACUUUAUAGUGUCUCAUAAUUCUGUUUGGUUUGUAGCUUUGAGUCUCAGUCCGGUUCUGAUAGGGAAUGGACAGAGGAAUGCUAUAUAUAUAUAUAUAGCUCAAACCCCUGCUCUUGCGAUCGUAAGCUUGUAGAGUUCUAAGACCUAUUGAUUAGAAGAGCUUUUCUUAUCGUUAAAGAGGAGAAGGUUUUGAGCAAGAAGACUGGAAUGGCUUCUUCAUCAGGAUCAAAUAAUGCAGGUAUGUUUCAAAGAACUUUGACUCUCAUAUCUGUUUAAAAUACAAAAUUUGUAUCGGCUGUGGUUCAAUUGGAUGAAUCUUUGAUUCUUGAAUAAGGUGUUAUAAACUUGUUCUUACAUGUGGUAUCAGAGCCAGUAGGGUUCAACCAUUGAAUUCAACCGGAAAAAAAAAAAAAAACUUGAAAACAUAUUAUCUGGGUUUCGAACUGGGCUCUUAGGGUUCUUAGAGCCUUUAGUUAAGAACGGUGCCGUUUGCGUUAAAAUAGCCUUUAGACAAGUCAUAAAAAAAAAAAUAAAUAAAUAAAUAAAUAAAUAAAAAUAAAAAAAAAUUAAAAGAAAAACGGUGUCGAUUGGUAUGUUCUUCGAAGAGGACUCUCUCUCUUAUCACCUGUGAUCGACCCUUUUUUCUUCCUGAUUACUUCUCUGAUUCAUGAUUCUUAGUCGAAAUAGAUGCUGAAAUUGACGAAUCUUGAAAGUUAACUACAAAAGGUAUGAACUUGAAAUUCGAAUUUAUUUCAGAUUAUUUGAACAUUGAUAUGAUUCAUGUAUGAUUAUCUGGCAUAAGUCAAAAGUAAUACAGAUUGUUCUUGAAAGAUGCUUCCGCUUAUAUAUCUGACAUCAGAGACUAUAUAUAUGUAUAUUGUGCAAUCUGUGGUGACUCUAAUGCAGAUAUUGAUGAAUCCCGUUGAAUUGCUUAUUCUAUAUGUGUCUUUAAAAUAUCAUAUCAUAUGUAUGAAUAAGUUGAUUCAAUGAAUAAGUUUGGUAGUGAAAAGACUGAAAUCAAGAAUCUUUAAGAUUCAUAGUGAUGAUUUCAUUGUUGUCUAAUGCAGUUUCACUAAGAUCACUAAACUUAGCAGCAGUGCCAAUACUCACUGGUGGAAGCAAUUACAAAAGAUGGAGAAGAGAGAUUGAAUUGCUUUUGACACUAAAUGAGUAUGACAUUGCACUUGACAAUCCACAACCUGAGGCCUUAACAGACAAAAGCACUAAGGCUGAGAAGGCUGAUUUUGAGAGAUGGACCAGGGCCAACAAAGUGGCACUAUCGAUACUAGAAAGUGGUAUGACAGACACUGUGCGUGGUGGAAUAAAGAAGUCAGCUCUUGCAAAAGAUUAUCUCCAAGCCAUUGAGAACAAAUUUAAAGAAUCAGAGAAGGCUGAGAUUGCUCAAUAUAUGUCCCUCUUGACUUCUUAUAAAUUUGAAGGUGGUGGAUCAAUCAGAGAUCACAUUCUGAAAAUGACUGACGCAGCUGAAAAACUUAACUCCAUGGAAGUUAAUAUUGGAGAGAAACAACUUGUGUUUAUGAUACUCCAAGCAUUGCCACUCAAAUUCAGUCAACUCAAAGUGUCCUACAACACUCAAGACAAGACUUGGACAGUGGAUGAACUCAUUGCUCAAUGCGUGCAAGAAGAGAACAGACAGAAACAAGAAAAGGGAAAGGAGUCUGAAAUUGUUAAUUUUGUCCAAGUUGCCAAAGGAAAGAAGGAGUCCAAUGUUGGUAAAUUUUCUAAACCACAAUCUUAUGAUAAAUCUGUUAUGCCUGCUAAAAGUUUCAAUUCCUCUAAGUCUAAUAAGUUUAAGGUAAGAACUAAAAGUGUUGAGAAGAUUAGAUGUCAUCACUGCAAGACUAAGGGUCACUAUCGAAAAGAUUGUGAAAUAUUCAAGGAGUGGCUGAGAUCUAAAGGUAGAACUGAUGUCUAUGUCUGUGAGGAGACAAACCUUGUUGAUAUUCCUACAAACUCUUGGUGGUUUGACACCGGCGCAUCUGUGCAUAUCACUAACACUUUGCAUGGUUUUAAAGAACAAAAGAAGACAAACAGUUUUAAUGUUUUUGUUGGAGAGGGAACCAAAGUUUCUGUUGAGUCCAUAGGCACUGUCAAACUAAGAUUAGACACUGGUUUUACAAUGCAAUUGAAUGAUGUGUUAUAUGUGCCCAAAAUGAGAAGAAAUCUUGUUUCUGCAUCAAAACUGGUCAAACAAAAGUAUGUUUUUGUAGGAGAUGAUGAGUGUGUCAAGUUUUUCAAAAGGGGAUCUUUACAUGGAAAAGCAUUUCAGCAUGACCAUCUUUGGAAAAUACAGUGCAAUGUAGAAUUUGAGGACUUACAUGUUUUGAAUACUGCAACUAAGAGGAUGCAUGCUUCUGAUCAAUCUUUUAUACUUUGGCAUAAGAGGCUAGGACACAUUUCGAAAGAAAGAGUUUUUCAGUUGUCUAAAAUGAAUUUGAUCCCUGCAAUAGACAUUAAAACUGCUGCAGAAUGUGUUGAUUGCAUCAAGGGCAAGAUGACUAAUACUAGAAAAUUAGAUGCUAAAAGAAGUAAUGCAUUGCUCGAGGUCAUUCACACAGAUAUUUGUGGGCCAUUUCCUGUCAAAACCAUUUGUGGGAAUACUUAUUUUGUAAGCUUCAUAGAUGACUUCUCGAGAUUCAGUUAUGUUUACCUAAUAAGUGAGAAAUCGGCAGCCCUUGAAUGUUUUAAAGUCUUUAAAUGUGAAGUUGAGAAACAGUUAAACCAUGUGAUUAAAGUUGUUAGAUCAGAUAGGGGAGGUGAAUACUUUGGCAGGCAUACAGAAGCAGGGCAACAAAAGGGUCCAUUUGCUCAUUUUCUUGAAAGUCAAGGGAUUGUGGCUCAAUAUACCACUCCUGGUACCCCACAGCAGAAUGGAGUGGCAGAAAGGAGGAAUAGAACUCUUAUGGAAAUGGUGAGAAGCAUGAUUUCAAGAUCCAAGCUCCCAAAUUUUCUUUGGGGAGAGGCAUUGAAAACUGCAACUAUAUUAUAAAUCGAGUGCCCUCAAAAUCUGUGCCCAAGACACCUUUUGAAUUAUGGCAUGGCAGAAAGCCAAGCUUCAAUCACUUUCAUGUAUGGGGAUGCAAAGCCGAAGCAAAAUUCUACAACCCAAGUGAGAAGAAAUUGGAUCCAAGAACAACUACAUGCUAUUUCAUCGGUUACUCAGAAAAGUCAAAGGGUUUCAAAUUCUAUUGUACACAAGCAUACACAAGGAUUCAAGAAACUCACAAUGCCAUUUUUCUGGAGGAUGAAGAUGUAUCAGAUAUGACACAUGAAACAUUCGAUUUGAAGAGAUGGUGCAAUCAGAAAAUUGUUCUCAAUUAACCUACAAUCAAGUACCAGUAUUGCAAAGAUCUCACCCAACUACCGAUGAUCUUGAUGAUGAUAUGGCAGAAGCUGAGAGCAAUGAUCAAGCAAGCAUUGAGAAUCGAUCAGAGACUCAGAAUCAAAAUCUCAAUGUUCAAACAAAUGAGAAUUUAACUGACCAACCACAGAUCAGGAAGUCUAACAGAAUUAAGAAACCUGUGAUCUCGCAAGACUAUGUGUAUCUUCAAGAAACGGAAUUCGAUUAUGGUGAUAUAGAUGAUCCUAUGACCUAUCAGCAAGCUAUCAAAAGUCCUCAAGCAGUCUUAUGGCAGCAAGCAAUGGUGGAGGAACUUGAGUCAAUGGCAAACAACAAUGUUUGGUCUUUAGCAAAGCCAUCAGAUAACACUAAACCAGUAAACUGCAAGUGGGUAUUUAAGACCAAGAGAGAUGCUCAGGGAAGAAUUGAGAGAUAUAAAGCUCGAUUAGUUGCAAAGGGAUUCACACAAAGGGAGGGAGUUGACUACAAUAACACCUUUUCACCAGUUUCUUCCAAGGACUCAAUGCGAGUGAUAAUGGCCUUGACAGCUUAUUUUGACCUGGAAUUGCAUCAGAUGGAUGUCAAAACUGCAUUUUUGAAUGGUGAACUUGAUGAGGAGAUCUUUAUGUCACAACCUCCUGGAUUUGUUGAAAGGGGGAAAGAGGAUAUGGUCUGUAAAUUGAAUAAAUCAAUCUAUGGUUUGAAACAGGCUUCAAGACAAUGGUUUCUGAAAUUUGAUCAAGUAGUUACUUCACAAGGGUUUAUUGAAAACAAGAUGGAUGAUUGUAUCUACCUUAAGUUCAAGGGUUCCAAGUUCAUUUUUCUGGUCUUGUAUGUCGAUGACAUUUUGAUUGCAAGUUCGGAUGUACAGUUGCUAAAAGAGACGAAGAGCAUGCUGAGUUCAAACUUUGAAAUGAAGGAUCUUGGGGAAGCUCACUAUGUUCUCGGAAUUGAAAUCAUGAGAGACAGAAGACAGAAACUCCUUGGUUUAUCUCAGAAGGGAUAUAUAGAAAGAGUGCUUAACAGGUUUAAUAUGGAAAGCUGCAAUAAGGCUGAUGUUCCAGUAAAUAAGGGUGAUAAGUUCUCUCGUGAUCAAUGUCCUAAAAAUGAACUUGAGACUAAAUUGAUGAAGAUGAAACCAUAUGCUUCUUUAGUUGGCAGCCUUAUGUAUGCUAACAUAUGUACCAGACCUGAUUUGGCUUUCAUUGUUGGACUUUUAGGAAGAUUUCAAUCAAAUCCUGGAGAAGCUCACUGGGUGGCAGCCAAGAAAGUGUUGAGAUAUUUGCAGAAAACAAAGGGGUUUAUGUUGGUUUAUGGGCACAGUGAUCCGUUAGAGUUGAUUGGAUACACUGAUUCUGAUCUUGCUGGGGAUGUAGAUGAAAGAAAAUCAACUGGAGGAUACAUUUUUAAGUUGAGUGGAGGUGCUGUGUCUUGGAAAAGUGCUAAACAGACUAUUGUGUCAACUUCAACUAUGGAAGCUGAGUUUGUAGCAUGUUUUGAGGGAAUGAAACAAGCAGUUUGGCUCAGAAACCUGAUUUCUGAUAUGAAGCUUGUAGAUUCAGUCAAAAGGCCUAUAAGAAUGUUCUGUGAUAACAAUGCCGCUGUGUUUUUCUCAAGGAAUAACAAAAGACUUCGGCCUCGAGGUUAAUGGAUGUAAAGUUUCUUAAAGUUAGGGAGAUGGUCAAGAAGGGGGAAAUAGAUAUUCAGUAUUUAUCUACCGGUGCAAUGAUCGCAGAUCCUCUUACCAAGGCCUUGCCAAAUAAUUUAUAUAAGGGACAUGUUGCUAAGAUGGGGGUGGUAGAGUCUUUUGAACAGUGGGAGUAAACUGUUUCAAAAUUGGAAGACUGUUGGAGUGUUCAUUCGAAUUUGAUGACAUUAAGACAGCAAGUCUUCGUAGCUAGAUAGUUUUAUUUGAGUUAGUGUUUUGUUUAGUAAGUAGCUUAUUUUGGUUUUCAAUAAGUGUUCAAUUCUUCCAAUGUGAUUAAUUGUUCCAGAAAACAAGUUUUAUUCAAUAAAAGUAAGUUUGCUAAGAAAUCAGUUUUGUGAUUUGGUUGAUGCAUGCUUAUUGGUAUGUUGAAUGGUUAAAGAUCAUUGACUUGAUUCGAAUUAUGAGAGCUGUAUUACUCAAGUGAGAGUUAUACAUUUUGUGCUCUGUGUUGUGAUUUAUACGAUUCUUAAUUGCAGAUUGAAUAAGUAGUAAUUGUUGAAUUGGUUUCUGUGAUGUACAGAGUAGAUUCUUCAGUUCCUUAUUUUGAGAUGCAUUAUGAUUGUAAUCUGAGAGGAUGAUUAGAGCUUGCAUAAGACUUAGUGAUCACUUCUAUAAAUCUUAAAUACUGGUUAUUGUGUUUCAUACUCAAGUGGGAGAAUGUAAGAUUGUGAGUAUGAAAUAUAAGUUGGGACCGGUUAUAUCGUUUAAGAUUGAUAUAGAAAAGUCUUUUGUUUAAAGUAGUUAAGAUAUCCUUAUUGAUUUGGGUUAACAGGAUUGAGAGAAGUUCUAAUUGGUUUUGGAAUAAGACUCGGUAUUGGAACUUUAUAGUGUCUCAUAAUUCUGUUUGGUUUGUAGCUUUGAGUCUCAGUCCGGUUCUGAUAGGGAAUGGACAGAGGAAUGCUAUAUAUAUAUAUAUAUAGCUCAAACCCCUGCUCUUGCGAUCGUAAGCUUGUAGAGUUCUAAGACCUAUUGAUUAGAAGAGCUUUUCUUAUCGUUAAAGAGGAGAAGGUUUUGAGCAAGAAGACUGGAAUGGCUUCUUCAUCAGGAUCAAAUAAUGCAGGUAUGUUUCAAAGAACUUUGACUCUCAUAUCUGUUUAAAAUACAAAAUUUGUAUCGGCUGUGGUUCAAUUGGAUGAAUCUUUGAUUCUUGAAUAAGGUGUUAUAAACUUGUUCUUACAAAGGAAACACGAAUUCAUAAUAAAGUCAAAUACAAAGGGGAAAAAAAUAACUUUAUCUUAGUUCUUCACUAAAAUUUGUUUCAUGUUAAUGAAGUGAAUUUGACAUCUCGGUUUACAAUUCAGGACCAAGGUGAGAAAAAGAGACUGCAGAUGAAUAUAGAGAUGCCCCAAACCUAAUUCGCAACCAAACGGUUAUGUUGUCACUCAGUCAAGCAAAGCAUCAGAAAACCAGGAUUGAGAACAAAUGCACCAUAAACUUCAAACAGAUGCAGCGUGAGAAAGAGAGGUUUUCACCCUAAGAGCCUUGCUUGCUUCAUACAUUAUCAAUCAUUUACGCAUACGGAUACAUAAUUACAUUGUCUACAUAAGUAGUGUACACAAUCCGACUGGAAAGCAGAACAAAUCUCUUUUGUGAAUGCAGAACACAAUGUACAAUAGGAUAACAUUACCGUCAAUUCACAAGACACCGGCUGGUAAUUAUCGAGUUAAACAGAAUAGACAGAAACAACAUAAUGCGGUCACUAACCUUGUUGUCCUGCUACAAGGCGAGGAACCUGUGACAAGAAAGCAUGUAUUACAGCAGGAUCAAUCACACCGACACAUUGAUUGAGAUAUAAAACAAAACCAUAUGUAAAAGUAAUCCAUCUUUCAGAAAAACUUACCUGCAAAAAUGAGGUGAGAAAGGUUUCGAAUACGGUCUAAUCCUCCUUUGGGUUGAAGUAAAAUCUGUACCCACGUGCAUGGAAAUCCAAAAAUGCAAUAAACAUACCAAAUAAAACACAUUAAACGUAAACCCACACUUCUGAAUUCGACGUUGAUAGAAGCUAGCAAAACCAAAUUCAAUUUAUAGUAAACAUAAGCAUGCACAUCGUGUAACAUCACAGAAGAACACAAUAUAUAUUUGAAUUUUUUUAUAGAAAAAAAAGGGGGAAAUACAAAGUAGUAGAGAAAGAACCUCCGAUUUUGCAACAGGUCGGAUUGACAGCAGUGAGUGCCCCAAAAUCUGAGACAAACAACAGAAAUAAAGCUUUCAGAAUAAUCUACGAAAUAUAUAUAUAUAUAUAUAUAUAUAUAUAUAAUAUAUAUAUAUCAAAUUCAUUUAAAAAAAUAUAUGCAAGAAAAAAUAUGUAGUAUUGGGUUGUUUACCGAAGCAGAGGAGCCCCCAGAAACGACUCUUCGCCUUAGAACGCCAAGCAUCGUCGUUGUUUCGAUCAGUCUCUCUCUCUCUUUGAGGGUUUAGGUUUUAAGCGAAAUUUAUACAAAUGGGAGUGAAGAUUUCAGAACGUAGGGUUUUUCGAUACUAUUAUAAAUGUCACUUUCAUUCACACGCAGAAAGAGACGCGGCGCCAAGAUGUGUAAGCUACACGUCUUGCUCUUUUAGUAUAUUAUUCGGGUUGGUGGUUUGGGCUGGUUCGGUUUUGGGUCAAGAGAUUUUUUUAAGUAUUAGAUAUUUAAGCUGUACUUUAUAUAUUAUAAUAUGUAGGGAUUUUUUAUCUAAAAUGAUAUUUGAGAUUUGCAUAACUACUUACUUUGGUCCGUGAGAUUUGAAAUCAAUAGAUGUGGUUCCAGAGUUUGUCUACUAUCAAUCAUUUUGAUCAUUCUGUGAAAAAUUGUCAUAUAAGAACCAAAAUACCCUCAAUUUUACAAACAAUGAUCCAAAAUGAUUUGACAAAAUUUGAGAAUAUUUUUAUCAUUUUAUUCUUAUUUAAUAGAGAUUUUUCAAUGAAGGACCAUUAUGACUAAAUAGAGAUUUUCACACAACCCUCCUUAUUUAUAGUCGUCUGAUUGAACAAAUCAAAUUAAAACAACUAAAAUGACUAAGUAGAGAUAUGUGAGACGCUAAAAAAGGUGUAUGUUUAUCAUCUUCCAAUCUAUAAACAAACAAAAAUGCUAUUUUUAUCAUCUAUUUAUACCAUCAUUUGUACCGUCUCUCUAUUAGAGAUAGAACCAGCAUGCGUUGGUGGGUCCGACCUCUAUUAGAAAAAUAGUAUAAAUAGAUAGUAAAAUUACUCAUAAACAAAUAAUGGUAACGGGCGAGAGCAUCGAUAGCUAAAGAUUUUUCAAUGUAUAUGAAAUAUUGCUACUGAAUGUCAAAAUUUCACUAAACUCAUUAAUAAACUAUAAAAAUGAGACAUAUUAGUCGUCCAACUGUAUUAUACCACGAGACAAAUCUUUCACAGUAGACAAAUUUCUAAUGGAUAGCUCCAUUACAUAAACCACGUUAACUUAUCUCAUUCUAUUAUCGAACAAUAAGAAGUUAUAACUCAUAAGUCUACAAAGAUACUGCUUUUUUCUUUACAACAUUCAAAGAUAUAUAUUGUUGGAUUUUAUUAAGAGAAAGAGCUUAGCUUUGGCUAGAGAUCAUGUGCAGAUAAAAGUUUCUUAUAAUAACACUGUAACACAUGCAUGGAUACAUUAGCACAAUUGGGUAAUUAACAAUCAUACGAAGAUCAGCUUUGUGUCUUCAACAAAUUAGGGUUCGAACAUUGUCAUCACGAUUAAAAUACUUGGUUGCUAAAGCAACGAUGGUACACAUUACAGUUGACACAAAACAACAAGACUGUCCUUAACAUAAGUACGUACUAAAUUACUAAUUCAAGAUAGAUAUAUAAUUUGAUUUGGAAGUGCAUGGAGAAAUGAAUCGUAGAGUAUUCAUGCACACGUACGUCUUCAAGGCAAUCCACCCCCAAGCCCACCGCCAGCACCAGCUCCUCCACCGAAACCUCCCCCAGCUCCUCCUCCAAGUCCUCCUCCACCACCACCACCGAAUCCUCCUCCGCCACCUCCUCCAG
rnacentral:lncRNA from 1 species